rnacentral:rRNA from 1 species
UAACACAUGCAAGUCGAACGGGAAAUCUCUGCUUGCAGGAGAGAGUAAAGUGGCGAACGGGUGAGUAACGCGUGGGUAAUUUGCCUCCGAAUCUGGGAUAACCCGCCGAAAGGCGUGCUAAUACCGGAUAAUAUCUUGCAGCAUAGGUUGUCAAGAUCAAAGGUGGCCUCUACAAGUAAGCUACCGUUUAGAGAUAAGCCCGCGUGCCAUUAGCUUGUUGGCGGGGUAAUGGCCCACCAAGGCGACGAUGGCUAGCUGGUCUGAGAGGAUGAUCAGCCACACUGGAACUGAGACACGGUCCAGACUCCUACGGGAGGCAGCAGUGAGGAAUCUUGCGCAAUGGGGGAAACCCUGACGCAGUAACGCCGCGUGAGUGAUGAAGGCUUUCGGGUCGUAAAGCUCUGUCAAGUGGGAAGAACCUGCUUGAUGCCAAUACCAUCAGGCACUGACGGUACCACUGAAGGAAGCACCGGCUAACUCCGUG